rnacentral:rRNA from 1 species
AGAAUCAACGCUGGCGGCGUGCCUAACACAUGCAAGUCGAACGAGAAAGUGGAGCAAUCCAUGAGUAAAGUGGCGCACGGGUGAGUAACACGUGACUAACCUACCCUUGAGUGGGGGAUAACCUAGGGAAACCUGGGCUAAUACCGCAUAAUACCUUCGGGUCAAAGGAGCAAUUCGCUUAAGGAGGGGGUCGCGGCCGAUUAGUUAGUUGGCGGGGUAAUGGCCCACCAAGACUGUGAUCGGUAUCCGGCCUGAGAGGGCGCACGGACACACUGGAACUGAAACACGGUCCAGACUCCUACGGGAGGCAGCAGUGGGGAAUUUUGCGCAAUGGGGGAAACCCUGACGCAGCAACGCCGCGUGGAGGAUGAAGUCCCUUGGGACGUAAACUCCUUUCGAUCGGGACGAUUAUGACGGUACCGGAAGAAGAGCCCCGGCUAACUUCGUGCCAGCAGCCGC